rnacentral:misc_RNA from 1 species
GUUAAUAAAAAUCGGUGCGUUGCAAUUUUUUUUUGUGAUGUUUCCGGAGUUUGAGUUAUCUUAAUUAACUCUCUUCUGGGUUUUUAAGAGGCUUAAAAUUGACCUUCUUUGUGCAUUUUAGACGUACAUAAAUUUUUUUUUAUUCGUCUAUCUUAAUGCCAAAAUCUAUUAGAUGCGACCAUAUCAUGUGGUUUCGUGUCCAUAAAUUUUUCAUG